GGGCGUGCAUGGUUUUGACAAAAACAUAUUUUAGAGAACUCAAGUAGGAAGGCCCUACCUUAAAAGGGUAAAAUUUUACAAAUGCAGUUAAUAAAGAUUAUUGCUUUAUAUACUUGAUCAGCAUAAGAGCUUUUGUUUGUUUUUAAACUUAUGCUUAAAUUUAAAACAAACUACACUUGUAAAACGCUCUACGAAUAGUUUUUGGACGGCGGUUCGAUUCCGCCCAUGUCCACUA
rnacentral:tmRNA from 1 species